AAUGAACGUUGGCGGCGUGGAUUAGGCAUGCAAGUCGUGCGGAAAGGCCCCGCAAGGGGUACUCGAGCGGCGAAAGGGAUAGUAACACGUGGAUUACCUACCUCCAGGACGGGGAUAGCUGCGGGAAACUGCAAUUAAUACCCGAUGACGUCUUCGGACCAAAGGUGUGAUUCCGCCUGGAGACGGGUCCGCGUCCUAUUAGCUAGUUGGCAGGGUAACGGCCUACCAAGGCUCAGAUGGGUAGCGGGCGUGAGAGCACGACCCGCAUCACUGGGACUGGGAUACUGCCCAGACACCUCCGGGUGGCUGCAGUCGAGGAUCUUCGGCAAUGGGCGAAAGCCUGACCGAGCGACGCCGCGUGCGGGAUGAAGGCCCUCGGGUUGUAAACCGCUGUCAGUGGGGAGGAAAUACUAGGGGGAACACCCUCUAGUUUGACCUAUCCGCAGAGGAAGGACGGGCUAAGUUCGUGCCAGCAGCCGCCGCAGUAA
rnacentral:rRNA from 1 species